UAUAAUAGGUCUUUUCAUCAAAAUGACACAGAACCUUUAAAUUUGGACAGCAUACUCCCAUACAGUAGGGCCAGCAGCCACUUCAAACCAAUUCUGAACCUGCACACUGAAAAUAAAACAAUCUUGCUUCAUGGACACACAUAAAUUGUUUACGACUCAUUAAAAAGCAAAAUCGCACAUCACACAGUUGGCAGCUGAGUCCAUGCGGAUGGAAAGGGGGCAUUCACUCAUCUCUUUGUAUGCUGGCAGUACCAAACCGAAGUUUAGCAGUAGGCAGUAGCCGAGAUUUUUUUGUGCGGCCAGACGAUGCAUGAGCAGAGCUUGGAAAAGUUACUUUUAUGGGACUACAACUCAGAAUCCCCAGCCAGCAUGGUAGUCUUGGACCAAGAGAACACACACCCUUAUGACUUUUAAACUUAUGGAAGAUGUGGAACCUGAAAGGAGGAGGAUUACUAUUCUUAGGACUGCUGGUGUCACUUCCUUCCAUCUCACAUCUCCCUGUCUUGUCCCUCCAAGGAAGCAUCUUACCACUGUUCUUUAGGGAGAAGGAGGCAGCCAUUGCUCCUGACAUCGUGAAAUGGAACUUCCAUUACCUUUCCUACUACCCCUAUUGUAUUUCUCAAAUAAAUCCAUUAUUUUGUGUUUCUUUAGCAAGAAGUAUGGGUGCGAUUCCUUUAGAAACAGGAAGUAUAUUCAGGUAAUUAUUCAAAUUUACAGAGAACUGAAGCACACAAAUGAAUAUUGCUUCUGUAUAGCUGCACGCUUACUUCCCAACAUGUACCAGCUUUGCAUUCCCUUACCUUCCCCGAUCUUUCCCUUCCUUAUCCCAUGGAAGAAGAGCAUGAAGAGAUGUCACAGCUACUACCUUGUUUGUCUGGGAUGAGAGACAGGCACCUCGCUCUCUAGUGUGGUGCAGGAAGACAAAUGUCUGAUUGUGUUGCCUGGCAUGCCAACAAUGGGGAGUGGUUGGUCUUUGCAAAUACAGGAAGAGCAGAAUUGGCCCUUGCAUGAUCUGUGAGAGAAGGCUUUGCUUCCUGCCUCAGGUAGCAGGAGAAACUGCAUCUGUCCACAUACUAUAUUCUCAGUACUUAUUGUCUCCAGAAUACAUGCUUCAAGAGCAUUUCAUCACACCAGAGCAUAUCCCUACUUUAGGGAAAACUGCAUGCAAAAAUUAACAUGUGGAAAAAUGUGUACAAAAGUGCAUGCAUUGUGGGAUGGAUUUUUUA